UAGGUUAACGAGGCGAACCGGGGGAACUGAAACAUCUAAGUACCCCGAGGAAAAGAAAUCAACCGAGAUUCCCCCAGUAGCGGCGAGCGAACGGGGAGCAGCCCAGAGUCUGAAUCAGCUUGUGUGUUAGUGGAACGGUCUGGAAAGUCCGACGGUACAGGGUGAUAGUCCCGUACACCAAAAUGCACAGGCUGUGAACUCGAAGAGUAGGGCGGGACACGUGGUAUCCUGUCUGAAUAUGGGGGGACCAUCCUCCAAGGCUAAAUACUCCUGACUGACCGAUAGUGAACCAGUACCGUGAGGGAAAGGCGAAAAGAACCCCGGCGAGGGGAGUGAAAAAGAACCUGAAACCGUGUACGUACAAGCAGUGGGAGCACCUUCGGGUGUGACUGCGUACCUUUUGUAUAAUGGGUCAGCGACUUAUAUUCUGUAGCAAGGUUAACCGUAUAGGGGAGCCGCAGGGAAACCGAGUCUUAACUGGGCGUUAAGUUGCAGGGUAUAGACCCGAAACCCGGUGAUCUAGCCAUGGGCAGGUUGAAGGUUGGGUAACACUAACUGGAGGACCGAACCGACUAAUGUUGAAAAAUUAGCGGAUGACUUGUGGCUGGGGGUGAAAGGCCAAUCAAACCGGGAGAUAGCUGGUUCUCCCCGAAAGCUAUUUAGGUAGCGCCUCGUGAAUUCAUCUUCGGGGGUAGAGCACUGUUUCGGCUAGGGGGUCAUCCCGACUUACCAACCCGAUGCAAACUACGAAUACCGAAGAAUGUUAUCACGGGAGACACACGGCGGGUGCUAACGUCCGUCGUGAAGAGGGAAACAACCCAGACCGCCAGCUAAGGUCCCAAAGUCACAGUUAAGUGGGAAACGAUGUGGGAAGGCACAGACAGCCAGGAUGUUGGCUUAGAAGCAGCCAUCAUUUAAAGAAAGCGUAAUAGCUCACUGGUCGAGUCGGCCUGCGCGGAAGAUGUAACGGGGCUAAACUGUGCACCGAAGCUGCGGCAGCGACACUAUGUGUUGUUGGGUAGGGGAGCGUUCUGUAAGCCUGCGAAGGUGGCCUGUGAGGGUUGCUGGAGGUAUCAGAAGUGCGAAUGCUGACAUAAGUAACGAUAAUGCGGGUGAAAAGCCCGCACGCCGGAAGACCAAGGGUUCCUGUCCAACGUUAAUCGGGGCAGGGUGAGUCGACCCCUAAGGCGAGGCCGAAAGGCGUAGUCGAUGGGAAACAGGUUAAUAUUCCUGUACUUGGUGUUACUGCGAAGGGGGGACGGAGAAGGCUAUGUUAGCCGGGCGACGGUUGUCCCGGUUUAAGCAUGUAGGCGGAGGU
rnacentral:rRNA from 1 species